rnacentral:rRNA from 1 species
CCAGCAGCCGCGGUAAAACCAGCACCUCAAGUGGUCAGGAUGAUUAUUGGGCCUAAAGCAUCCGUAGCCGGCUCUGUAAGUUUUCGGUUAAAUCUGUAUGCUCAACAUACAGGCUGCCGGGAAUACUGCAGAGCUAGGGAGUGGGAGAGGUAGACGGUACUCGGUAGGAAGGGGUAAAAUCCUUUGAUCUAUUGAUGACCACCUGUGGCGAAGGCGGUCUACCAGAACACGUCCGACGGUGAGGGAUGAAAGCUGGGGGAGCAAACCGGAUUAGAUACCCGGGUAGUCCCAGCUGUAAACUAUGCAAACUCAGUGAUGCAUUGGCUUGUGGCCAAUGCAGUGCUGCAGGGAAGCCGUUAAGUUUGCCGCCUGGGAAGUACGUACGCAAGUAUGAAACUUAAAGGAAUUGGCGGGGGAGCACCACAAGGGGUGAAGCCUGCGGUUCAAUUGGAGUCAACGCCAGAAAUCUUACCCGGAGAGACAGCAGAAUGAAGGUCAAGCUGAAGACUUUACCAGACAAGCUGAGAGGUGGUGCAUGGCCGUUCUU